CUGACUAUGGCCAGACUGUGUGUCCUGCAGGGGGCGUCCUGGCUGUGCCCUAGACCGGGGCGGGACCCGGCACUUCCCGCCCGCGUGGUAGCGCUUUCCCGGUUCCGAAGUAGUGGCUGACGGUGCUGCCAGGGGAGAGCCAGGCGUGGAACGGCCACAGCUGUCGGAGAGCCGCCAGGAAGGAAGCCGAGGAGCCCUAGAAUGCUGGCAAUCAGCAGGAGGUGUUGAGCACUACGAACCUCGAACGGGAGAAAGUCAUCAGAGUAGGAGUACCGAUAACAAACUUUGGCUGUGCUAAUGUUGGUGUCAUGAUGGUAGAUGCAGACUCUCCACAUUCCCACACAGGCAACGCCAGUGGGGAAGAACGUGGGGUCGUCCAUGUGCCACACUCGCCACUCCACAAGGCCCAUGGAAGUUGUACAGAGGAUCCAUCCUAUGGUGGCAAUAACGAAACCAGGCACUUGGUGAUUGGCGCCAUUGAUGACCUGGGUCAUGGUGGCAGCGUGCCCAACGUAACUGCAACGACACAAGACAUGUUGGUUCCAUGGAAUGGUUAUUACGAAUAAUGCUGCAAUGAACAUUUGCAUAUAAAACUUUGUGUGGAUAUAUGUUCCUGUUUCUCUUGUGGAAUACCUAGGGGUGGAGUUGGUGCUUCACAUGGUUAAAGACUAUUACUUUUUUACUUGGAAAAAAGGGUGGCGCAUACAGAGAUACAAGCAGAGAAAUGUACUUGUUAGUGACUAUCAAGAGCAAUAAACACAUGGGUGUCUUCCAACCCAAUCUCCCACCUCUUGGAAUCAAUUCUAGGGGACAAAUCAGACAGUGUGAUCCAAGCGCCUGGGCAAUGAUGAUCACAAGCAGUGUGAUUGAUACUAGGGGUAAGAGAAAUCGGAGACCAGUAAUAUGUGGAUCAAUAUGGAUGCUUAAGUAAAUUUCCUAAUGCCACAAGACAGAACAUAUUUUCAACCGUUUACAAUGAAUUGUUUAAAAACAUUGUAAUGACAGGAAAUCCUCACUGUAUGUUCAGAGGGGAAAUGGGUGCAAAAGAAUGUAUAAUAUGUAUGUCAUUAUGUUCUGAAGUGUGUGUGUGUCUGUGUCUGUA